AUUGAACGCUGGCGGCAGGCUUAACACAUGCAAGUCGAGCGGGGUGAUGGUGCUUGCACUAUCACUUAGCGGCGGACGGGUGAGUAAUGCUUAGGAAUCUGCCUAUUAGUGGGGGACAACAUCUCGAAAGGGAUGCUAAUACCGCAUACGUCCUACGGGAGAAAGCAGGGGAUCACUUGUGACCUUGCGCUAAUAGAUGAGCCUAAGUCGGAUUAGCUAGUUGGUGGGGUAAAGGCCUACCAAGGCGACGAUCUGUAGCGGGUCUGAGAGGGUGAUCCGCCACACUGGGACUGAGACACGGCCCAGACUCCUACGGGAGGCAGCAGCGGGGAAUAUUGGACAAUGGGGGGAACCCUGAUCCAGCCAUGCCGCGUGUGUGAAGAAGGCCUUAUGGUUGUAAAGCACUUUAAGCGAGGAGGAGGCUCUUUUGGUUAAUACCCAAGAUGAGUGGACGUUACUCGCAGAAUAAGCACCGGCUAACUCUGUGCCAGCCGCCGCUGUAA
rnacentral:rRNA from 1 species